AUACGUAGGGAGCGAGCGUUGUCCGGAAUUACUGGGUGUAAAGGGAGCGUAGGCGGGAGUGCAAGUCAGAUGUGAAAUACAUGGGCUCAACCCAUGGGCUGCAUUUGAAACUGCAUUUCUUGAGUGAAGUAGAGGUAAGCGGAAUUCCUGGUGUAGCGGUGAAAUGCGUAGAUAUCAGGAGGAACACCGGUGGCGAAGGCGGCUUACUGGGCUUUUACUGACGCUGAGGCUCGAAAGCGUGGGGAGCAAACAGGAUUAGAUGCCCUGGUAGUCCACGCUGUAAACGAUGAUUACUAGGUGUGGGGGGACUGACCCCUUCCGUGCCGCAGUUAACACAAUAAGUAAUCCACCUGGGGAGUACGGCCGCAAGGUUGAAACUCAAAGGAAUUGACGGGG
rnacentral:rRNA from 1 species